UUGUGUUUGAAAUAAAGCUAUAACUUCCACGCAUAAUGAAAUGCGCCCCCCUCCUCCUGCCUGCCGAGGGCUACAGAGCUCCGCUGGGUGACACUCCUGCCUGUCACAGCCACUGCAGUGCCCAGGGCCCUCUCUGGCAAUCUCAGCUCCUCUCAUUUUGUGAAGACGUCACCAGCCUGUGAGCUAUCAGAGAACUUUCUGAAAAGGACAUUUCAGAGAAAGCAAAGCAGCUGUAUAGUACUCGAAUCUUUUAUUUCCUGACUAUUCUGUGUGUCAGAGAAGUGGACGCUGGAGAAAAACAUGGGGCUUGUUAUUACCGGCCU